rnacentral:rRNA from 1 species
CCUACGGGUGGCAGCAGUGAGGAAUAUUGGUCAAUGGGCGCGAGCCUGAACCAGCCAAGUCGCGUGAAGGAUGACUGCCCUACGGGUUGUAAACUUCUUUUAUACAGGAAUAAAGUGCGGCACGUGUGCCUUUUUGUAUGUACUUUAUGAAUAAGGAUCGGCUAACUCCGUGCCAGCAGCCGCGGUAAUACGGAGGCUCCGAGCGUUAUCCGGAUUUAUUGGGUUUAAAGGGAGCGUAGAUGGGUUGUUAAGUCAGUUGUGAAAGUUUGCGGCUCAACCGUAAAAUUGCAAUUGAUACUGGCAGCCUUGAGUACAGUUGAGGUAGGCGGAAUGCGUGGUGUAGCGGUGAAAUGCUUAGAUAUCACGAAGAACCCCGAUUGCGAAGGCAGCUUACUAAACUGUGACUGACAUUGAGGCUCGAAAGUGUGGGUAUCAAACAGGAUUAGAUACCCGGGUAGUC